UACGAAGGGGGCUAGCGUUGCUCGGAAUCACUGGGCGUAAAGGGUGCGUAGGCGGGUUUUUAAGUCAGGGGUGAAAUCCUGGAGCUCAACUCCAGAACUGCCUUUGAAACUAGAUUGCUAGAAUCCUGGAGAGGUUAGUGGAAUUCCGAGUGUAGAGGUGAAAUUCGUAGAUAUUCGGAAGAACACCAGUGGCGAAGGCGACUAACUGGACAGGUAUUGACGCUGAGGUGCGAAAGCGUGGGGAGCAAACAGG
rnacentral:rRNA from 1 species